UCCAGACUCCUACGGGAGGCAGCAGUGAGGAAUAUUGGUCAAUGGGCGGGAGCCUGAACCAGCCAAGUCGCGUGAGGGAAGACGGUCCUACGGAUUGUAAACCUCUUUUGCCGGGGAGCAACGGGGUCCUUGCGAGGGCCCGAUGAGAGUACCCGGAGAAAAAGCAUCGGCUAACUCCGUGCCAGCAGCCGCGGUAAUACGGAGGAUGCGAGCGUUAUCCGGAUUUAUUGGGUUUAAAGGGUGCGUAGGCGGACUUUUAAGUCGGGGGAAAAAGCCGGGGCCUCACCCCCGGCGAGCCGUUGAAACUGGCUGUCUUGAGAUGUCGAGAGGUAUGCGGAAUGCGCAGUGUAGCGGUGAAAUGCUUAGAUAUUGCGCAGAACUCCGAUUGCGAAGGCAGCAUACCGGCGGCGAUCUGACGCUGAGGCACGAAAGCGUGGGUAUCGAACAGGAUUAGAUACCCGAGUAU
rnacentral:rRNA from 1 species